rnacentral:rRNA from 1 species
AACGGGGGGGGUAGUGUUAUUCGUGGUGACUGGGCGUAGGGUACGUAGGUGGAGUAUUAAAAAUUCUGUAAAAAACUGAGGUUGAUCCCUCUUUAAUCAGAAUUCACUGAUAUUCUUGGGUAUUAUAGGGGUUUAUUGAAUUCCAAAAGGAAGGGUGAAAUUUGUUGAUAUUUGGAAGACAUUCAAAAGUGAAAACAUUAUCCGAUGUAAUUCGACACUAAGGUACGAAAGUAUGGGGAUAAAUGGG